rnacentral:rRNA from 1 species
UUUUGAUUAUGGCUCAGAUUGAACGCUGGCGGAAUGCUUUACACAUGCAAGUCGAACGGCAGCAUAGAGAGCUUGCUCUCUGAUGGCGAGUGGCGAACGGGUGAGUAACAUAUCGGAACGUGCCUAGUAAUGGGGAACAACUAAUCGAAAGAUUAGCUAAUACCGCAUACGACCUACGGGUGAAAGCAGGGGAUCUUCGGACCUUGCGUUAUUAGAGCGGCCGAUAUCUGAUUAGGUAGUUGGUAGGGUAAAGGCCUACCAAGCCAACGAUCAGUAGCUGGUCUGAGAGGACGAUCAGCCACACUGGAACUGAGACACGGUCCAGACUCCUACGGGAGGCAGCAGUGGGGAAUUUUGGACAAUGGGGGCAACCCUGAUCCAGCCAUUCCGCGUGAGUGAAGAAGGCCUUCGGGUUGUAAAGCUCUUUCGCAAGAGAAGAAAUCUUAUCGUCUAAUA